rnacentral:lncRNA from 1 species
AAAGAAAUACAAACAAAAAUUGAAGAAGCGAAAAAAGUAUUUACUGAGAAAGAAAAAAUAUUACAACAAAAAAUAGAAAACUUGAUAUAUAAAUUAGAGAAAUUAACAUUUCUGAAAGGAACAAAUCAUAGUAAACAUGGUGAGUUUGCCUUUGACAAUUGUAUUUACAAAAGUAAAACACAUGAUAAUAGUGUAUAUGAUAAUAGUGUACAUGAUAAUAGUGUAUAUGAUAGUGCAAAUGAUAAUAAUAUAUAUGAUGAUAGUACACAUGUUAAGAAGGACAUGAAAAAACGUCACACGUUGACAAAUGGUGAGCAUAUACAGGGUGCUAAUGUAGAAUGUACACAUAAUGAACGUAUUAACCAGUUACCUAAACACAAAUCUGUUAAUGCUCAAUGUUUAUAUAAUGAUAAUACAUUUUUACUAAAUGUUGACAAUAUUGACAGUGAAAAAGCUGUACAAAAUAACAACUUUAUAUGUACCAGUAACAGUAUGGAUAAUAUGAUAAGUAACGAUAUGGUAGAUGGUAGUAUAGUACCUAAUGUAUCAGAAGUUAAAUAUGGGCAGGACAACGGAAGCAACAACAACAGUAAAAACAGCGACAGUAAAAGUAGCGACAGUAAAAUUAGCGACAGUAAAAGUAGCGACAGUAAAAUUAGCGACAGUAAAAUUAGCGAAGGUAAAAUUAGCGACAGUAAAAUUAGAGACAGUAAAAUUAGCGACAGUAAAAUUAGCGACAGUAAAAGUAACAAUAACGAAACUACUUACGAAGCCAACAGCAAAGCCGCUAGCGAAAGUGCCAGUACUAACGAAGCCAAAACAGGAACUAAUGCAAAUAUCCAUGUAGACUUAGGAACACAAAUUCCUAUUUACCCAAACGAAUACAAAAAGAUAAAAAAAAAAUUAGAAACAUAUGAAUUUAUAAUCAAUGAGGAAAAAAAAAAUCAAAAAAAAAUGUUAGAAGAAAUAAAUUAUUUAAGAAACCAAGUAAAAAAUUAUGAAUCAUUAUGCGGUAAUUAUGAACAUAUAAUGUACCAAAAAAAUAUUAUUUUUAAUUUUGUGUCACAAAUACCUAAUAAUAUUAAAAUUGACGAUUAUGUUUCGGUUAUUUAUAAUUCGUUUAAUUUUUCCUCUAAAGAAAUUGAAAUGAUAAAUGAAAAGCGUUCGAAAAAGUAAUUGUUUCGUGUGUUUUGGUAAGUACGUUUGAA